rnacentral:rRNA from 1 species
AUUGAACGCUGGCGGCAGGCCUAACACAUGCAAGUCGAGCGGCAGCGGGAAAGUAGCUUGCUACUUUUGCCGGCGAGCGGCGGACGGGUGAGUAAUGCCUGGGAAAUUGCCCAGUCGAGGGGGAUAACAGUUGGAAACGACUGCUAAUACCGCAUACGCCCUACGGGGGAAAGCAGGGGACCUUCGGGCCUUGCGCGAUUGGAUAUGCCCAGGUGGGAUUAGCUAGUUGGUGAGGUAAUGGCUCACCAAGGCGACGAUCCCUAGCUGGUCUGGAAGGAUGUUCAGCCACACUGGAACUGAGACACGGUCCAGACUCCUACGGGAGGCAGCAGUGGGGAAUAUUGCACAAUGGGGGAAACCCUGAUGCAGCCAUGCCGCGUGUGUGAAGAAGGCCUUCGGGUUGUAAAGCACUUUCAGCGAGGAGGAAAGGUUGAUGCCUAAUACGUAUCAACUGUGACGUUACUCGCAGAAGAAGCACCGGCUAACUCCGUGCCAGCCGCCGCAGUAAGAC